rnacentral:rRNA from 1 species
AUACGGAGGAAGCAAGCGUUAUUCGGAAUCACUGGGCGUAAAGGACGCGUAGGCGGGUUUGUAAGUCAGGUGUGAAAUCCUACAGCUCAACUGUAGCACUGCACUUGAAACUACAGACCUAGAGUAUGGAAGGGGCAGAUGGAAUUAGUGGUGUAGGGGUAAAAUCCGUAGAUAUCACUAGGAAUACCGAAAGCGAAGGCGAUCUGCUGGGACAUUACUGACGCUGAGGCGUGAAAGCGUGGGGAGCAAACAGGAUUAGAUACCCGGGUAGUCC